rnacentral:rRNA from 1 species
AUUGAACGCUGGCGGCAUGCUCUACACAUGCAAGUCGAACGGCAGCUCGGGCUUCGGCCUGGCGGCGCAAGGCGAACGGGUGAGUAAUGCCUCGGAACGCCCCCACUUGUGGGGGAUAGCCCGGCGACCGCCGGAUUCAUACUGCAUACGACCUGCGGGUGCACACGGGGGACCGCCAGCCCUCGCGCUCUCGGCGCGUCCGAUGUCGGCAUAGCCAGUUGGUGGGGUAAAGGCUUACCAAGGCGACGAUCCGUAGCCGGUCUGAGAGGACGACCAGCCACACUAGGACUGAGACACGGCCCAAGCGCCUACGGGAGGCAGCAGAGGGGAAUUUUGGACGAUGGCGGCAAACCUGAUGCAGCCAAGCCGCGUAGGGGGAAGAGGCCUUCGGGGUGUGAACCGGUUUUGUUCGGGAAGAAAUGCUCUGGGCUAAUACCCCGUGGGGAUGACGGUACCGGAAGAAUAAGCACCGGCUAACUACGUG